GACGAACGCUGGCGGCGUGCUUAACACAUGCAAGUCGAACGGAAAGGCCCUGCUUUUGUGGGGUGCUCGAGUGGCGAACGGGUGAGUAACACGUGAGUAACCUGCCCUUGACUUUGGGAUAACUUCAGGAAACUGAGGCUAAUACCGGAUAGGAGCUCCUGCUGCAUGGUGGGGGUUGGAAAGUUUCGGCGGUUGGGGAUGGACUCGCGGCUUAUCAGCUUGUUGGUGGGGUAGUGGCUUACCAAGGCUUUGACGGGUAGCCGGCCUGAGAGGGUGGCCGGCGACAAUAGGACUGAGGUACGGCGCAGACUCCUACGGGACGCAGCAGUGGGGAAUAUUGCACAAUGGGCGGAAGCGUGAUGCAGCAGCGCUGCGUGCGGGAUGACGGCCUUCGGGUUGUGAACCACUUUGGCCUGUGACGAAGCGUGAGUGACGGUAAUGGGUAAAGAAGCACCGGCUAACUACGUG
rnacentral:rRNA from 1 species